ensembl:lincRNA Gm28342 predicted gene 28342
GAUAUCUAGCAGGGAAGGACCAUGUCAACUCUGUACCUGGGGCUGGAGAGAUGGCCAGAGGUCGAGUGUUUGCUCCUCCUGAGAUGAGUCCCAUUUGGUUCCCAGCGCACACAUGGAGUGGCUCACAAUUGCCACUUUAGGGGAUGAUGGAGAACCUGAGGGUGACUCAAUCAAAGCUAGCAGACAGCGCUGCAGAUCCGGAGAAAGAUCUCCUACAAACGUAAAUGUAACCGAAAGCGGGAUGCCAUUUCUUCUUGUGGCGGGGCUCCCGUCAGGCCUGGUGUCAGAUCCCCGGACCCCCACUUCUCACUAAGCUUUGCUGAGGAGCCUCCUGGGCACUGGGCUGCAUGGCGGCCGAGUCGGCUGAACGCUGAAUUGUCAAACUGUGUGUCUCACGGAAGACGCGGAAGACGCGUGUUUGCCGACCGUGGGAACAGCCUGUGCUUGGAGAAGCAUCUUCCGCUUCCCAUCUCUGUCUCAGGGACUUCAGGAGUCUCAUCCGCCUCCCCUCCCUGGCAGGAAGCCUUCUUUAGUCUCAUUUGUUCCUGAUGUGGUUUCUGUGGUUUCCAAAGAGAGCAGAAAUGCCCAGC